AGAUGCGAUAAUACCAACACUAUUGCACCGAGUCCCAUCAGAACUUCGCAGAUAAGCGUGCUUGUGGAGAGUAAUACUAGGAUGGGUGACCUCCUGGGAAGUCCUCGUGUUGCACCUU
rnacentral:rRNA from 1 species